rnacentral:rRNA from 1 species
UACGUAGGGUGCAAGCGUUAAUCGGAAUUACUGGGCGUAAAGCGUGCGCAGGCGGUGAUGUAAGACAGAUGUGAAAUCCCCGGGCUCAACCUGGGAACUGCAUUUGUGACUGCAUCGCUGGAGUGCGGCAGAGGGGAUGGAAUUCCGCGUGUAGCAGUGAAAUGCGUAGAUAUGCGGAGGAACACCGAUGGCGAAGGCAAUCCCCUGGGCCUGCACUGACGCUCAUGCACGAAGCGUGGGAGCGAACAGG